ACUAUUAUUUUAUUUCCAUCACAAUUUUCACAAACUUCUCUCUCCUUCUAGGCUAAAAGUUUCAUCUAAUUGCUCUUAAUAUUUUCUUUCUGCUUCUAAAUUUCAUCCAUCUUUGAGUAGAUGAAGACUGUUGUAGUUGUUGGGUUUGCUAGAGACAAGCAAUUUGGUGGAUUUUGUUGGUGAUUGAAGUGGCGGGAGCUGUAACAAACUCCCGAAUCCUAAAGCAAAUCGACUCUAUUAUUAGAUUGUAACUUCACCUCAGGCCAAAGUUGCAAUAACUUUUGAAACAAAUAAGUAUGUGUGUAAUUGCAAAAAUUUGACUACCUGUUGGGAAGUACGACGCUUUACAAAUCUAACUCCCAAGCAAAAGAUACAAGCCUCAAACAUAGCCUUCAAACCAGUUGAAACUAUUAGCAAGAAAAUGGAGAAGAAGAAAAUGAUGACAGUGGCAGCUAUGGCUAUGACGCUCAUGAUGUUGUUAUCGGCCAACAUGGACACCGUUGGGAUUGCUGCUCAGGGUGUCAAUUGUUAUGACAGUUGUAACACUGGCUGCGUUGGUAUCCCACCGAAAAAGUACCAAGCUUGCGAUAAGAAGUGCCACAAAAGGUGUGGAGACGAAGUGUUUUCAAGAACCAAGAAAUUGGUCAUAGAGAGUAUCCAUUAUCCACAAGUUCAAGGCUAAAAAUGCAAGAGGAUUCUAUCUGAUUAGUUUGAGGCAAAAUCUACUACAAAUAAGGCUAACUGAGAGAGGAAGAUAGCAAGGCGGGAGGGGCUUUGGCUUACAUAUGAAUUUUGGUGAUUUUUGAUGGGUAAAUUUGUUUGGCAGGAUUUGAACAUCAAUCAGAAAAAUUAUUGGGGACCAAAAUUGAUAUUGGACUUAAAAUGUUAUAAAGACUUUUUGGACAAAGAUUGAUAUAAAUUAAAUUAUGGUAAGUACCAACAGUAAUGCUUGGUUAAAGUUAGAUUGAGUUUGAAAAAAAAAAUUAGAAUGGAAUAAUGGUAACAAGAAUACCUGAUUAUGGUUUAAAAUUGAUUAAAAAGAUAAGGGGAAAUCCACUUUUUAAAAAGAUAAAUGACUUUUGUCAUGAUUAUAGAUCAUUUUCUUCAAUUUAAAUCAAAUCAAUGAUCAUUAUGUUUAAGAUUUACUAAAAAUUGACAUUGGACUUGAAAUGUUAUAAAGACCUUUUGAAGAAAGAUUGAUAUAAAUUAAAUUAUGGUAAGUACCAGCAGUAAUGCUUAGUUAAAGUUAGAUUUAGUUUGAAAAAAAAAAUUUAGAAUGGAAUGAUGGUAACAAGAAUGCUUGAUUUAUGAUUUAAGAUUGAUUUUAAAAAUUAAAAAGAUAAAGGGGGAUCUACUUUAAAAAAAAGUGAUUGACUUUUGUCAUGAUUAUAGAUUAUUAUCUUCGAUUUAAAUCAAAUCAGUGAUCAUUAUGUUUAAGAUUUACUAAUACAAUAACAUACCUAUGGGAAGGUAGGUAAAAUUUAGAUAGUAAGGUUUGGAGAAGGUAAAAUGACGUAAAAAGAUUUGGAGAGAGUAAAGUAAUAGUGAAAUUUGGAGAAGGUAAAAUGAUGUAAUUACAUUUGGAGAGGAAAGUAUAGUGAGGUUUGAAAAGGGUAAAAUGGUUUAAUGAGAUUUGAAGAAGAUAAGAGGAAAGUAUAGUGAGGUUUGAAGAGGGUAAAAUGGCAUAAUGAGAUUUGGAGAGGAUAAAAUGUAUGCAGUGAAGUGUGAGAAGAAUAAAAUAUAAGUAAAUUUUAUUACUAUUUUAAGGAAAUUAAAGA